GUGGGGGCAGACGUGCCAAUGAGAGAGAAAGGGGUGGGGUAGGGCGGCUGACGCCCGGUUUAGGCGGAGAGCGCCGGGCAGAGGGGGAGGGGGACGAAGCUGGUGGCGAAGCGGCUCAGGAGAACCGGGGCUGGAGGAGCGGCAAGAGUACCCAGAAAGUGCCCUCUCCGCGGGGGUCUGCGGCCAAGGAGGAUCCUGCUCGUGGAAUAGCUACCAAAUCGGCCUCCAGCCCACCCCAGGGGCGGGGUAGAGAAAGGGCAAACUGUGACCGGGACUUGUGCACCCGAUUAAUUGAAUAUUAAUCACCCCAAGGCCUAGGCCAACCGCCACCCAGAGAGUGGCAGCUGCAGAACCCAAAGACGUGGAGCCGGGCUGGGGGUGGGGAAGGGAGGCCGCCACAGCUCCCGCCCCGCCGGCAGUUUAACUGCUUCCGCAGCCUCAGGCCUCCCGGUGCGACCCCGGCUGCGACUCGGAUCCGUUUAUUCCAAAUGUCCCAGCCCACGCCGUGCCCAGAGUGUGGCGACACGAGGCCAAACUGCCCACCUACUGAAAAUCUGUCUGUGUGCCGAGCACGCGCUCCCCAUCCCUCUACCAAAUGCCUGGCUGGCGCGUCAUCCCUGGCUUUGAUGGACGGAGUCUUGCUGUGUUGCCCAGGCUGGAGUGCAGUGGCAUGAUCUCUGUUCACUUCAACCUCCGCCUCCUGAGUUCAAGCGAUUCUCCUGCCUCAGCUUCCCAAGCAGCUGGACUACAGCAGGGAUGACGGCGCUCCUGGAGGCUGGCUGGGAAGCUGGUCAGGGUCCCAGGACUCUGACACCCCCAAUGGCCCUUGUAGCCUUGGGGAGUCCUGUGAUCCAAGGCUGGAGGACUGAGUCCCCUCCAGGUCUCAUAGCAGACGAAUAGCAGCUUCACCCAGGCCUGUUUUGUCGUGGCCCCAUUCAGAGGCCGCCCUCCUCUGUGGUUUAGAGCAUGCCCUGGAAUCCCUAGCACAACCAGGGGUUACCUCCUGCUGGCUGACCCCUUCCUGUGCUGCGGGCUGGAAUAUAGGGUUUAACCCUGUUAUAACCCAGAGGAACACAAAAGGAGGAACAUCAGGCUUUAUGGAGAGACUGGAAAUGAAGUGGAGGUUUUCCUUGCUCAUGAAACCUGGCUCACCCUACAGGUAGUCCCAAAGAGAGCUUGUGAUUUUCUUUCCCCUUUGGUCCCCCGACCCCUUCAGAGCUCUCUGGGAAGCUAUGCUCUCUCACUGCUUUCCCUCCCCUGAUCAGAGUCCCUGUGCCAAGGCUCCUGGAUACUGGGGCUGGAAAACCUCCUGUCCCUUCCACCACUCCUGUGCCCUCCAGGGAAGGGGUCUGGGGUCUCGGGGCUCACCCCCACCUGUGUGCCAGUCCCUGUGCUAGGCCUGCACAGACAUCAGCUCGCUGAUCACUACGAGAACCUCAACUCUUCUCCCCAUUUCAUGAGGACACCGAGGCUCAGAGGUGUUCGUGAUACUCAAGAUCACACUGCCAGAGCGUGAGUUACUGGGAUUUGAACUUUGGUCCGUGUGGCUGCAAAGCCAGUGGCUGCUAUGAUUCUCUUUCCACUUGCUGCAGCCCACGUCCCUCUGGGCAAGUCUGACACCCUAGCUGCCCUCAACUGCCUGGCCCCGUGGCGUCCCAGAGGGCGAGGGGAGCACAGGGACUGGGCACAGAGGCCAGCUGGGGUCAAGGCAAGGGGGCUGCCCAGCACAGUGGUUCUGCUCCAGAGGUGCAGUCAGACUGCCUGGGUUGGCUCAUGCCUGGGUCUGUCAUUGUGGGCAGCGUGACCAGCCUAAACCUCAGUUUUCUCUUUUGUCACCUAUGUGCUAAAAAUACUUAUUUCUGGAGAUUCUUGUGAGGAUUAAAUGAGAUCUUCCAAGCCAAGUGCUUUGCAUAGUGACGCAGGGUAGGUGCUCAAGAAAUUUUGUUGUCUGCCUGUGGUCUGGGUGGGGGCAGGGUGGGGCUGCGAUGGUGAAGAAAUGACACAGAAACCCACAGGAAACUUCAUCAUCUAGAUGGUACAUGGAUGGCACAUUCAAGGGAAGUAACGAAACGAGAAGAAAAAACUUUUACAUUUUGGCUGAGCAAAGGCAACAAUAUAAUUACCAUCAUUUAUAAAAACUGCCUCCCAUUAAUGUCUAAUUCCCACAAAGCGCAACAAUGAUUAUCUCAUUAACUAUGUGUCAGAUUAACUUUGUUGCAGGUUUUAUUUGAUUAAAACAGUGAACUCACAACACGUAUUAUGCUCAUUCUUCAUAGUUUGUGGUUUCUGGAGCAUAGUCCUCUGUUGGCAACUUUUUCUAAAUUAGAGGGCACGUUUCUGGGUAAGUUGUUUUUUAGAAAUUUAGUUAUCUGGAGUCCCAAAGCACCCAGGGUGGAGGGAAGGGCUCAGAGCUUCCUAUUAGCUUCCACCUUUGGAUUUGCUAAGGCCAGUGAUGAAAGAUGAAUUAUGUAUCCAUAUUUUCAAGACUUUGGGGGCUGGGCUUGGGCUUGGGCCGGGCGCUGUGGCUCAUGCCUGUAAUCCCUGUACUUUGGGAGGCCGAGACAGGUGCAUCACAUGAGGCCAGGAGUUCGAGACCAGCCUGGCCAAAAUGGUGAAACCCUGUCUCUACUAAAAAUACAAAAAUUAGCCAGUCAUGGUGGCAGCACCUGUAAUCCCAGCUACUCAGGAGGCUGAGCCAGGAGAAUCACUUGAACCCAGAAGGUGGAGGUUGCAGUGAGCCAAGAUCAUGCCACUGCACUCCAGCUUAGCCAACAGAGCAAAACUCUGUCUCAAAAAAAAAAAGUCUUAUUCGAAUAUUUUACUGUG
rnacentral:lncRNA from 1 species